AGGGGGAAAAAAAGCCGCACAAUCUCCGUAUGUGCGCGCGCGUUGAGAUAGACGUUGGCAGGAGAAAAAAAAAGGAGGGGAUAUUGGGGAACCCAGGACGACCCAGGUGGAGCGUGGCCUCCCCCCAACCCCGCCCCCAACAGCGAGCUUCUCGGGCCAGCCGGCGCCACUGUGGAGCUCAGCGCGGACCGCAGCCCCGCCGAGGCCCGCAAGUCUGGAGGUCGAGCGCCCCCUCCCUCCCAAUCCGAGGAACCAACCAGAAGGCGCCCGAGUUGCUCCCGCGGGGCAAAAAUGGAGCUGGUCUGGGUUUACCGACCUGAAGUCAGAAGCAGGGGCCCAGGAGGGUCCUGGAUUUGGCAGCCCUUCAGCCUCCUUAGGGCUUUCUCCAGAGCUCAAUUCUCUCCCAGCCCCCAGACACACUGCUCUGUGCCCUCCGGUUUCCACCCCUCGCCCUGUCCCUGAGCCUGUGAUCCCUGGGCAGGAAGGAGGUGCUGCUGCCUCCUGGACGGACUGGGCCAGCACCUUCUGUGUGGUGGCCCUGGGCCAGGCUGGACCCACCUCUCUGGUUUUGCUUGCAUGUUCCACCAAGCACACAUGCUCUGGUCUUCUGGCUCUUUCCGUCACUACAGCCACCAACCACUUGGCAAACUCAUUCUCAGUCUUCGAGACCCAGCCCAAUGUCUGCUCCUUGGUGGAGGCCAUCAUGGCCUUCUUGUGCCCUGAAUAGUUAUUUGCCAGAUUAGGCCCCUCAGCCCAGUGCCUGGCUGUUAUCUCUUCAGGUGUCUGUCUCCUGCGGGGGCCUCAGGCUCUGGGAGGGCAAGGACCAGGCUUUCUGGGCCCUGUCUGAUGCCACACCUGGCAGAUGAUCUGGGGAGCUUAAUGAAUAAGUGCUUGGUUGAUUGAUUGAUUGAAUGAAUGAAUGAAUGAGAGAAGUCGUGAGCCAGUGAAGGGUUUAAUGCUCCCCACUGCCCCCACACCAGCCCUCAUAGUAGCUUCCUUGCUUGCCCACAUACAACCCUUCCUGCCGUGAGUUCCCCCGGGCUGGAUAGGGCUCGGGGAAGGGAGGGAGCUCUGAAUGUCUGUGGGAAGCUACAGCAUCCUGCCUAUUGACUUGGCACUGGGGAGAAGCAAAAGCCACUGUGCCCUUGCUGCUAGGAGGAGGGAAGAGGAGUUGAGGGGAGGGUCCACAUUUUGCUUCCCUGUCAGCCCCACUGCCGGUCAUCUGCUGGGAGGGAACUGGGUCAAGCGGUAGUCAGAAACCAUCUGCUCGAGAAGCUGGGAUUAUCCCGCCCUCUGCUGAUCCCCGAGCCCGCAGAGCCAAGGGUGUAAAUUGAGUUCCUCCAGAUCACCUUGUGCUUUGUGGGGGGCCCCCAUCCCCUCCUGAGGGUAAGGACCUGUUCCUGUUGCUUCAAAGCCUCAUUUAGCACUGGGCUCAGUUCUCCUUGUACUGGUGACCUCAGCCUUCAAUCUGAGCCAGGGAUGUGACUGUGCCUGUCAGUUUUGAAUACAAUAACGCACAUCAAUGCUGCAGCCAACGCCCUCCACACGGGCUGCAGGACCAGGCCGCCCCCACACGGAAGGCUGGCUCCUUACCAUCAUCAAGGAACUCGGGCCCAAUGGGGAAGGCAAGAAGAAGACAUGGCGACGUUAUGGAUACAGGCACACAGAAUAUGGAGAAGGCUUCCUCUGCAGAGCUCAGAGUCCUUGCUCUCACAACAUAUUUUUUUGCAUAACCCAUAGCGAAGUUUCAAUUUGAGGAUGAUGAAAAUGUCCAAAAGUGACAAAGCAAACCAUACAAAUGAGCCUUAGGGUUCAUUUGCUGGCAGAAUUGAGAACUCAGGCACAGGUCUCGGACACAUAGCCCCUGCAGAGUGUGGGGGUGAGAAGUCCUUCACAGCAGUGGCGCUCGGGGCGGGGGCUGGAGAAGGCCUUUGGCAGAGCUGGGCUCAGGGACCCGGUGCUCACCUCUGCACUGCUGUCAAAUGUCACCGUCACGCGUCACACCUCUCCAGAGCAGCUCCCUGUCUGCAUAGAAGGGGCUGCAUGCCAAAUCAGAGAUGUCUUGCCUACCGGGCAACCCAAGGCACAGGAGAGGGACAAGCCUGGAGCCAAGUGUGAAGCAGGACCUGGCCAAAGUGGGACCCAAGGGGCAAGGGGCCAUGCUGACCUUUGUAAAAGCACAGACGCCAGCACAGAGCCCCCACGGGUUGCCCCAAGGCCACCUCAUGCCUUCGAGGUCACGGAGGCAAGUCCUUGAUGAGAGAGUGGAUGGGGGAGGGUUAUUCUGAUAAAACAGCCCCACAUUUCUCAGCAGGGCAGCCGGAUGGUGCCCACCUUUCAAGGGCCCUGGCACCCCUCCACAUCCUUAAGUCUUGCCGUGACCUCGGCAAGGAGGCCUGUCAUCUCUACAACUUGUGAGCUGUAGGGCUGAGCCGUUCAUGCUGUUCCCCUGAGGCUGCCCAGCAGCCGCCAGCGUGCCUGCUAAGGGAAGGCCUCCAAACUGAACUUACUUCAUCUCCUGAAGGAGCUGAGGCGCCCGAGCAUGACUUGGUCAGUGGGCCUGGGGUUCAGACGCAGACGCCUGAGUUCCACUCCAUCCGCACGGCAAGCAGCCACGUGCAUGCUCCACUCCUGCCUGCCCCGAGGCGUAGCAUGCUGACAUGGGCACAUCAGCCCUUCACGUGCUCCCAGGCUAUUCCUAAACCAGGCUUUAACACCAGACAUCUCGUAGGGCUUCUCAUCUAGUCAUUCCUUUUGAGCUGACUCCCUUAGCUCCCAAACCUCUGACAUCUAUCAUUUGUUAGCAAGAACCCUACAAAUCACUGUGUUCCUGGCCCCACUCUCAGUAAGACCAAGAUGCUGGGAAGCAGCCAGCUUGAGAGGACCUGGGGGAGCCCUCUUCCAUGUCGCUGGGCAAGGGCUGGGGGCCGGGGUCCCAGAGGCGGUGUGAGAGUGGCAUUUAACAUGUUUUCAAUGCUCGGAAAAUAUUUCGAUAGCAGGCCCCAUAGGGAUGGCUUGUCCAAGUUGGUAUAUUUUCUAGAACAAUAGAGGCGCUAAAUACAGCAUUUGGUUAGUGUCCCACCUCAAAUUGCUAAGCACAAACUAUUCCUGGCACAGGAUUCCUUCCCAUUCAUUCCAUAACCACGUUGACCUAGCUGCUGGGGAUACAGCGACGCAUGAGUCAAAGGCCCUGACCCUUAUCACCCGCACCCCGCAGUCUACAGGGGAGACCGAACACGAACAGGUACGGCCUGGGACCCACUGGGAUGGUGCAGUGUGUGGGCGCGAGCAGAAGGAACACCUACAUCUGCCGGGAGUCUCAGAGGAAGCUGGAUGUGAACUGAGCCUUGAAACAUGAGGAGGUGUUUUCCCGGUGGACAAGAGAGAGGGAUGUCAUCUGGGUGAGGAAUAAGGGCAGGUCCAGUGUAGCUAGGCCAGAAAGGGGCAUUAAGGUCAGGAGGGCAUGUGACCCCUUGCAAGAGUAUUGUAGGAGGAUCUUGGCAAAGUUGUAGAGGCUGAGAUCCAGCCCAUCGGGGAGGAGCUGAGGGUCAGAGGUAAGGUGGUGGUGCGGGCCCACAGGCAGCAGGCUGGGCAGCUAAUGGGAGACAGGAGGGCUGAGCAGAAGAGUCGAGGACCUCCCUCACCCCAUUGCUGCCGUGAGCAAUCCCAUAUGCUGCUCCCAGAUGCCCGUGAGUGGUGAGAGCCCAAAGAGCUGGUUAUUUUGCAACUAACAAAGGAAAAGUAGAGCAUUUCAAAGGUUUCUUUGCUUUGUGUCUCCAAACCCGACUGUGUCUACUCUGGGAAAACUUGUGUCCAAGCACCAAAGUCCUCUUAAAUACUGUUCCUCAGUCCUCAGCGUUCUUGAACUUCAGAGCUGGCCUUUGCAUCUACACUGUGGAGGAUGGAAAGUGACCUGUCUGUCCAGUGAGCCGCCAGUCAAGACGAAUGCACAGCCGACCCAAGAUAGCAUUUCUCAGGUUCUAAUGUGUGACAGGGACAACACAGAAAAAACAAGGAAAUUACUCUUGUAAACAGGUAUAGACAUCUUCUUGCUUUUUAAACAAAACCAGUGAAUGUGUUAGUCUAUGGAUGUCUCUGAAAGCUGAGGACCUCUAUUCCCAGUCCACCCCGCAGGGUACCUGAGGGCUCCAGAUUCCUACCAAUCAAUGCCUGGGAGGCCCCCACAGUCAAGUAGCUUAGAAAGAGCCACCACGAUGUUACGCUUCUCUCAUGUUCUCCGCUUUGUCACUUAAGAAUCUAAUUGAAUUUUCACAGCCAGGAAACAGAUCCCUAUCUUGCCAUUGAAGGGAGUUCUGCUGGAGGAACCAUUGUGGUUAAAGAAGAGGAAAAACCAGAGCCACUCCCAGCUCAGUCUCCCCACAGCGCAGGCCCAUUGACUGGCUCAUAAAGCUGUGUUAAUUUCAAGUACUCUCCAUUUUCAGCCCAUCCCCUCCGGCCCAGCCCCAGAGGCAGGCUUAGGGCUGGGCAUUGGGCGGGCACACCUGUUCCCACUGCUCUCCCCAGUCUUCCCUGGGGUUCCCCACCCCCAGGGCCCAGGGCCCAGUGAGCCGGGGCUAAUCUGAGAAAGGUGGCAUUUCUCCACACCUCCGUGGGCUGAGCAUGGCCGAGCAUUCCAGCCUUCUCAGUGCCUUCCCUCUCCCAGACGUUAGCUUAUGGGUUGAAAUGCUGGAGAAAAAAAAAUGCAUGAAAAGGGAAGGAUCCGAUUUUUGCUUGAUGGAUAAAUGUUUUUAUAUCUAAUUAGGAGACCCCACUGUGAAGAGGGUAGAGUGUUUUAGUUCUGGCUUAUUGAAGGACAAAGACCUAUUGUGCACUGGUGCUCUGUAAGGUGGUAAAAGAUUCGCAGAGUCAGUCUACACUCGUGCCGCCAAUAGAACCGCGAGCAGAGCCCAGGCUGACGGGCAGCGUCCCCAGGGCUCCCACUGCAAGCGGGGCCUGUCUGCCCAGAGUUCUUUCAUGCAAGUUGGUCUCAAGCUGGGGAUUUAAGGAUUUGCCCUUCUCCACCUUUCCAGAAAAGGAAAAAGAAAAAGAAAGAUGGAUAGAUAAGGAA